rnacentral:rRNA from 1 species
UACGUAGGUGGCAAGCGUUAUCCGGAAUUAUUGGGCGUAAAGCGCGCGCAGGCGGUUUCUUAAGUCUGAUGUGAAAGCCCACGGCUCAACCGUGGAGGGUCAUUGGAAACUGGGGAACUUGAGUGCAGAAGAGAAAGGCGGAAUUCCACGUGUAGCGGUGAAAUGCGUAGAGAUGUGGAGGAACACCAGUGGCGAAGGCGGCUUUUUGGUCUGUAACUGACGCUAAGGCGCGAAAGCGUGGGGAGCAAACAGG